rnacentral:rRNA from 1 species
GAUGAACGCUGGCGGCGUGCCUAACACAUGCAAGUCGAGCGAACAGACGAGGCUUUUGCUCGUCUGUCGUUAGCGGCGGACGGGUGAGUCACACGAGUAUAACCUACCUAUCUGACUGAGAUCACCUCGGGACACCGGAUCUUACACCGGAUAAUAUAUUGAACCGCAGGGUUCAUUGGUGAAAGACGGUUUUGCUGUCACUUAUAGAUGCUUCCGGGCCGCAUUAGCUAGUUGGUAAGGUAACGGCUUACCAAGGCAACGAUGCGUAGCCGAAGUGAGAGGGUGAUCGGCCACACGAGAACUGGAACACGGUCCAGACGCCUGCGGGAGGCAGCAGUAGGGAAUGUGCGGCAAUGGGCGAAAGCAUGACACAGCGACGCCGCGUGUGUGAUGAAGGUCUUGGGAGCGGAAAGCUCUGUUACUAGGGGUGAACAGAUGUGUAAUGAGAUAUACCGGUCUUGACGGUACCGAAUCAAGAAGCACCGGCUAACUACGUG